rnacentral:lncRNA from 1 species
GGAAAGUUUCAAUGAUCAUUAGAAAUACAGGUGAUGGACAUUCAAGAAACAUUGUUCUCUUUUAAAACACAAUAUUCUGUUUUGGUUUUGUUUUGUUUUGUUUUUUAAAGAUCCCUGUCUUUUUGUACAUUCCUUAAUAUCUAGUAUUUGUUCCAACACAAUGUUGGUAGCCAAAAGCCACCGACCUGAGGUUGGCAACUCUUAGAGAACACAGCUUUCUUCUACAGAACAGUAAGUUGCUACAGUUCAGCCAAAUUCUAUCUGUCUAAUAAAAGGCACAGAUCUCCCUCUGAGCCGCGCCCCGGCUUGGGCAGGUAACUCACCAGUUCAGCUCCCUCUCCACCGCGCUCUCUGGAAACUGAAAGUGGCCACUGAGCGGGCGCUGUUCGCUAGUUCAUAGAAUCUACUGCUGCUGCCGAGAAAUCACGUGGAUUCAAAGUGCCAGCCCCAGGGCGCGCGGGUAGCGUGCCCGGAACCCGCCGCGGCUUGGAGAUCGCAGCGGGACGUGCCUCUCUGACUACUAUUGAGACUGGAGGCGCUGUAGGAUGAAGGCAGGAGGAGCCGCUGAGCAAAACUUCGUGGAGUUGGGUCCAGAAUCCUUUGGCGACAGCGGCUCAUCACCUGAGACCUGACCUGGACAAGCAUGGUCUCCAGGUGUGUCUCUGCUGGUCUCCGGGUGCAAGGGUUGCCUAGGCUACAGAAGAAAGCUUAGUGCAGAGAUGAGGGAUGGAGAGAGGUGAGCGAUUAGAAAAGGACUACAGGGCCAUAGUCAGCCCUGGAAAGUUCCUGUCUCUGUUCCAAGUUCUACAACAUGCCCUGCCUCUUGUCUUUGUCCCAGAACAGGAGGCCAGGCUCCUCCUGAAGAUGGUUUCUGUGACAUCCCACAGUGAAGCAAUGCUCUGGGGGAGGAAUGGGGAGACAGUGCAUUAGCACUGUAGGGCAGGGUCAGCAGCACACCCAUGACCCCCAAACCUCAGGUUCAAGUCCUCCUCUUAAGUGCUGGCUACAUCACCUUAGGCCAGUGGUUCUCAGCCUUCCUAAUGCUGGGACCCUUUAAUACUGCAGCCUCCUGCUGUGCUGACCCCCAACCAUAACAUUAUUCUCGUUGCUACUUCAUAGCUGUAAUUUUGCUACUGUUACGAAUCAUAAUGAAAUCAUUUGACUUGGCAGAGGUUGUGUCCCCCAGAUUGAGAAACACCCCCCAAGACAAAAGUCUUGGCUCUGAGUUUUGGUUCUGUCAUCUGUCCUGAGAACCAGAGAAGUUGUACCUUCCAGUCCUUCAGAAGAAGUUAGAGCAGAUGUGGUGUGUGCCCAGAACUCUUAAGAAAUCCUUCUACGUUAGUCCCCUUCUUUGGAUCUCAAAUUCCUGUGACCCUCUAACCUCCUCCCUCCCAGGACCGAGCCGGAAAUCUAGAAAGUUCUUGACAGGCAAGAGUGUGUGUGUGUGGGGGGUCAUUAUUAUUUUGCACUGAUUAUUUGUGUGUGACUCUUAGCUUUUCCAACCUUCCCUGGCUCCCCUCUUACAAAUAAAUGCCUUGUUUUU